rnacentral:rRNA from 1 species
CCUGACGCAGCAACGCCGCGUGCGGGAUGAAGGCCCUCGGGUCGUAAACCGCUUUCAGCAGGGAUGAAACUGACAGUACCUGCAGAAGAAGCCCCGGCUAAAUACGUGCCAGCAGCCGCGGUAAUACGUAUGGGGCAAGCGUUAUCCGGAUUUAUUGGGCGUAAAGCGCGCGUAGGCGGCUUGUUAAGUCAGAUGUGAAAUCCGGGGGCUCAACCCGCGGCUUGCAUCUGAAGCUGGCAGGCUUGAGUCUGGUAGAGGAAAGUGGAAUUCCUGGUGUAGCGGUGAAAUGCGCAUAUAUCAGGAGGAACACCAGUGGCGAAGGCGGCUUUCUGGGCCACGACUGACGCUGAGGCGCGAAAGCUAGGGGAGCGAACAGGAUUAGAUACCCUGGUAGUCCUAGCCGUAAACGAUGGGCACUAGGUGUGGGGGGUCAUCGACUCCCUCCGUGCCGAAGCUAACGCAUUAAGUGCCCCGCCUGGGCAGUACGGCCGCAAGGCUAAAACUCAAAGGAAUGGACGGA